rnacentral:rRNA from 1 species
UAGGGAAUCUUCGGCAAUGGACGAAAGUCUGACCGAGCAACGCCGCGUGAGUGAAGAAGGUUUUCGGAUCGUAAAACUCUGUUGUUAGAGAAGAACAAGGACGUUAGUAACUGAACGUCCCCUGACGGUAUCUAACCAGAAAGCCACGGCUAACUACGUGCCAGCAGCCGCGGUAAUACGUAGGUGGCAAGCGUUGUCCGGAUUUAUUGGGCGUAAAGCGAGCGCAGGCGGUUUCUUAAGUCUGAUGUGAAAGCCCCCGGCUCAACCGGGGAGGGUCAUUGGAAACUGGGCGACUUGAGUGCAGAAGAGGAUAGUUGAAUUCCCUGUGUAGCGGUUAAAUGCGUAGAUAUAUGGAGGAACACCAGUGGCGAAGGCUGCUCUCUGGUCUGUAACUGACGCUGAGGCUCGAAAGCGUGGGGAGCAAACAGG